AUGAUUCGUGGGACGUCCUGCCGGUGGUGGCGAGUCGAAGGCGUGCUCCCGUCGUGGUUUCCACUUCGGUUCUUGUGCGCCCGAGGCGGACCCCGAUGAAAUCCUACCGCGGUGCUCUUAACCGAGUGUCGAGGUGGGCCGGCACGUUUACUUUGAACAAAUUAGAGUUCUUAAAGCAGGCCUGUUGCGCCUGAAUACUGUGUGCAUGGAAUAAUGGAAUAGGACCUCGGUUCUAUUUUGUUGGUUUUCGGAACCCGAGGUAAUGAUUAAUAGGGACAGGCGGGGGCAUUCGUAUUGCGACGUUAGAGGUGAAAUUCUUGGAUCGUCGCAAGACGGACCGAAGCGAAAGCAUUUGCCAAGUAUGUUUUCAUUAAUCAAGAACGAAAGUUAGAGGUUCGAAGGCGAUCAGAUACCGCCCUAGUUCUAACCAUAAACGAUGCCAGCUAGCGAUCCGCCGAAGUUCCUCCGAUGACUCGGCGGGCAGCUCCCGGGAAACCAAAGCUUUUGGGUUCCGGGGGAAGUAUGGUUGCAAAGCUGAAACUUAAAGGAUUGACGGAGG
rnacentral:rRNA from 2 species